UUGAACGCUGGCGGCAUGCCUUACACAUGCAAGUCGAACGGUAACAGGUCUUCGGAUGCUGACGAGUGGCGAACGGGUGAGUAAUACAUCGGAACGUGCCCAGUAAUGGGGGAUAGCUCGGCGAAAGCCGGAUUAAUACCGCAUACGCCCUGAGGGGGAAAGUGGGGGACCGCAAGGCCUCACGUUAUUGGAGCGGCCGAUGGCUGAUUAGCUAGUUGGUAGGGUAAAGGCCUACCAAGGCGACGAUCAGUAGCUGGUCUGAGAGGACGAUCAGCCACACUGGGACUGAGACACGGCCCAGACUCCUACGGGAGGCAGCAGUGGGGAAUUUUGGACAAUGGGGGAAACCCUGAUCCAGCAAUGCCGCGUGUGCGAAGAAGGCCUUCGGGUUGUAAAGCACUUUUGUCAGGGAAGAAAUCCUUUGGGCUAAUACCCUAGGGGGAUGACGGUACCUGAAGAAUAAGCACCGGCUAACUACGU
rnacentral:rRNA from 1 species